UACAGAGGGGGCAAGCGUUGUUCGGAAUUACUGGGCGUAAAGGGCGCGUAGGCGGCCUGUUAAGUCGAACGUGAAAUCCCCGGGCUCAACCCGGGAACUGCGUCCGAUACUGGCAGGCUUGAAUCCGGGAGAGGGAUGCGGAAUUCCAGGUGUAGCGGUGAAAUGCGUAGAUAUCUGGAGGAACACCAGCGGCGAAGGCGGCGCUCUGGGCCGGAACUGACGCUGAGGAGCGAAAGCGUGGGGAGCGAACAGG
rnacentral:rRNA from 1 species